rnacentral:rRNA from 1 species
GAUGAACGCUAGCGGCAGGCCUAAUACAUGCAAGCCGAACGGUAAGUUGAGUAGCAAUACUUGACCUAGAGUGGCGUACGGGUGCGUAACACGUAUGUAACCUACCCUUUACAGGAGUAUAGCUCGGGGAAACUCGGAUUAAUCCUCCAUAAGAUGACAGCACGGCAUCGUGUAGUCAUAAAAAUUUCGGUGGUAAAGGAUGGACAUGCGCAUGAUUAGCUAGUUGGAGGUGUAACGGACCCCCAAGGCGAUGAUCAUUAGGGGAACUGAGAGGUUGAUCCCCCACACUGGCACUGAGAUACGGGCCAGACUCCUACGGGAGGCAGCAGUAGGGAAUAUUGGUCAAUGGGUGAGAGCCUGA